GGUCAAGUUCCGCGCGACCAAACCUUGCUCAACUCCGUCAGGUCCGGAAGGAAGCAGCGGUCGGUAACGGUUUGGAGCGACGUGGUAUCGCUUGACCUCU
rnacentral:SRP_RNA from 1 species